GUACAUGAUACGCGUACACCAUAUAAGAGAAGUUUUCACUUUUUGUACCAUACCAUUAAGCAUCAUGUACGCGACCGCGUUCGCCAUUGGGUUGCUUUUCCUAUGUUUUGUGGCAUUUCCUACAGUAAAUGGUCAAGCAUGCUCCAAGGCCGUUAUCGAUGGUGUGAAUAAUUGUACAAUUAAUCGUUUUCGACUGAAACUGGAUACUACAAAAUGUGUCUUAAGCGCAGAGCACAAAAAACAGAUCUAUCAGUACAUGAUUACAGAAUUAGCAAAGAUUUUAGAACGUACUGGGACCCAAGCUUGCGAAGCUCUUCGAGGAGUUGUGAAUGGUCUCUCAUCACUCGUUAGUAAUUUACUAUGUGUAGUAGGAAGCGUUCUUGACUGGCUACUUGGAUAAAUUUUAAAAUUUAAUCAGUUCGUUUUUAUUUAAGCAGUUGAAUAACGCCCAACUUUCAUUGUGAAUAUAACUCUGUACAUAUUAAAAAUUACAAAAAAAUAUCCUGCAUUCUUA